rnacentral:rRNA from 1 species
GAUGAACGCUGGCGGCGUGCUUAACACAUGCAAGUCGAACGAAGCACUUUAUUUGAUUUCCUUCGGGACUGAUUAUUUUGUGACUGAGUGGCGGACGGGUGAGUAACGCGUGGGUAACCUGCCUUGUACAGGGGGAUAACAGUUGGAAACGGCUGCUAAUACCGCAUAAGCGCACAGCAUCGCAUGAUGCAGUGUGAAAAACUCCGGUGGUAUAAGAUGGACCCGCGUUGGAUUAGCUAGUUGGUGAGGUAACGGCCCACCAAGGCGACGAUCCAUAGCCGACCUGAUAGGGUGACCGGCCACAUUGGGACUGCGACACGGCCCACACUCCUACGGGAGGCAGCAGUGGGGAAUAUUGCACAAUGGGCGAAAGCCUGAUGCAGCGACGCCGCGUGAGCGAAGAAGUAUUUCGGUAUGUAAAGCUCUAUCAGCAGGGAAGAUAAUGACGGUACCUGACUAAGAAGCACCGGCUAAAUACGUG